AAAAUUAACAUAAAUGAUCCCAACCACCCAAACAGAUUGUUCAAUUCCAAAGCAUCUGAAAAGCAAAACCUUUCAGCAACCUAUCAGAGUAUUAUCCCAUCAAUCCUAUCAAUCUGCUUCAAUAAUAUACUGGAAGGUAUUCUUUCAAAAACCAUUGCGCCUUUUUAAAAUCUUGGCACUCUUUCAUCUAAAAAGCCCCAAAAAUUCCUUUUCCAAUUAUUUCCUUCCCCUCUUCCAAAACGGGGAACCAAUAUCAGAUGUGGCUUGUACGAUGUGGUUAUCGCCGAUCUACUUCAACAGCAUCAAGUGCAUAGAUUACGAAUCACGUACAAGCAAUCUCCUUCGACUUCUACAUUUAGAAAACCCAUUUAAGCUCCUGUCAAAACCUUCUAGAAGCAAGCUAUCACCUCUGCUGCAAAAUGGUGAAGGUAUGUUGGCAUGCAAAACAGUUUUUGAACAGAGAAUACUACCUAUGUCAUUUCUAAUAACAAUCCCAAAAUCAAGAUCUAUUAUCUUCCUUGCAAAAUCCUGUAUCAAAAUUUAUUUUGACAAAAGGGUUCUGAGGCACCUUCCACACACCAACGGUCGCUCUUUGCCCUUCAUGUAGCAAUUUGUUACGUGCAACCUAGAUUGCCCACAACCCACAGCAAAACAAUCGACAAAGGUACAUGGAACUAUUUUCAAAAAAAAUGUUUACCCAUUCUGCCAUUUGAGUCAUAUGCAUCUGCGUACAUUGUGUGAACCCUAACUGUUGCCAAAUCUUCUUUGUGUGCAAACACUCUUGAAAAACAUGUUCAACUGUUUCCACACCAUUGUGGCAGCGAGGACAAUUCGCAGAGUUCAUCAACCCCUUGUAGUAUAAGUUUGCAUAAGUAGGCACAAAGUUGUUCAUAAUCCUCCAUGUUGUAAUUUUUAUUUUGGAGGGUAGAUCAAUAUUCCAGAGCCUUUUUUAUAAGUUGGAGUAGGGGUAGAAAUUUCCAUCAGUAGAAAUUCCAUAAUGGUUGUGUAUUAACCAUUUACAAGCACUUCAGACCGUAUAUUCCCCCAUAGCUUCACCACUCCAACCGUGAACAUUCUUCUGUAGAACCAGGGGUAAAGGAAUGGCUAGAAUCUAUCGAGCAUUAUCAACAGCAAAGGUAGAAUUGAUUAAAUCCUCCUUCUAAUUAUUUGUUUGCUGAUCUAUUAAAUCUGCCUGUAACAGCUCAAUUUUGACCCUAAUCAAAAAAGUGGUUUCGGGACUACAAAUCUGAGUCAGAAAAAUAUUUUAAAAUUAUUUUUAGUGUUUACAGUAUGUGAAUUUCAGUGUGUAAAAAUUUCGUAUGAAAAUUUGAUCGUUUGAGUGCUCAAUUUGAUAAAAAGGGCUUAAUCGUGUAAAAUGAAAACUUUGGGAUCUAAUUUAAAAGCAUCUAUUUGUUGAUGUCUUAUUAAUUAGGAGGCUUAAAAGUGCAAUAAACCUACUAUAUAGAUAAUGGAUGGUUAUGGACAAGACUAACCUUAAUGUUUAAAUAUAUAUUAUUUAGUAAAUAAGGUUAGUAAGGUAAAUAGCUUAUUAUUACAUUAUAUGUAAUUAAAAAUACAUGAAAUUUAAACUAGCUAUCAUCUUCUUCCAUGGCCGAAUAUUAACAAAAGAAAAGAAAGAAAAGCCAAGCUAGGUUUCAGCACAAAACAAACUUGAUUAAGGUAUGAAUUUGUUUCGGUUUUUGAUAAUUUUUACGUUUUUGAUAUCGUUGCUUUGUGUACUACAAGACACAUGCUUUAAUUUUUGAAUUUGAUGUUGAUUUUGUGAUAUGCCAUUGAUGAAUGCUUGAGCUUUGUAAUAGUUGAUGAUGAAAUAUGGAAGAUAUGUGGAAGAUUAACAUGUUUUGUCUUUAAGUUUUUGGUGAAAUUGAGUAAUUAGGGCUAAAUUGUGAAAUUAAAUUUUUGAGGGACUAAAAUGUGAAAUAAAUUAAAUGUGUGGACUUGUAUGAGCAUUAGGGAUAUUCGGCCCUUAUAUAAUGUGGGGAAAUUUUGUGUAUUUUGUGUUUUAUGCAAUAGGGAUUAAAUUGCAAAAAGUGUAAAUGCCAGGGGCAAAAUAGUAAUUUUCUCAUUUAUGUGCUUUUGGACUAAAUUGAAUGUAAUUAUAUUUAAACUAGCUCAUUUUGAAUAUAUUUAGAUCAAGAACCGAAGAAAUCGGAGUUGGAUCGGGGAAAAGCUAAAGUUGUCGAUUAAUAGUCCAGUUUUGACUUUUCACCGUCCAAGGCUCAGCGCCCAGCAGGUAUAUUGCCAGUGAAUCAAUUCAGGCUUAAAACCUAGCAGGCUAAGUGCCGGUGAACUGAAUCAGACUAUAAGCCUAGCAGGCUAAGUGCCGGUGAUCUGAAUCAGGCUUUAAACCUAGCAGGCUAAGUGCCGGUGAAUCUAUUUUAAUUAAGUGAUUAUAUACAUUGGGUAUAUAUGUAUAUGAUUUGGUUAUUUGUAUUGAAUAAAUAUAUGAACAUCUGUUUCUAUGUUUUUGAUGAGCAUAUAAAAGCUCGAAUCUUUGUGUUUGGUGAGUAUAUAUAUAUAUAUUGGUUAUCAUGAAA